rnacentral:lncRNA from 1 species
AGAUUAAAAAAUACCUAAAAUAGUUGAAUCCCCUUGGAAACUUUUGAGUUCAUUACACUACUUGUUUAGAAAACUGCUCAAACUCUGCUCAUUUAGGAGUAUUCUGAUGUCAUUUGGUGAAGAAAACUUCGGAAAAAUCAUAGCCUCUCAUUGUGGGAUUUGAAAUAGAUUGAAGUUGUGUUUUGAAAAGUUCUGGUUCAAGCUUUGUUGUGGAUUUACUGUUCCAUUGAAUUUUUGAGUUGAUUUUACUGUGUAGAUUGUUGAAUCUGGGAUGGUUUCUAAUAUUUGCUGCUGCUGAUCCCUCGCUUCUUAUUUGCUUUUAUUUCCAGAUAUCUUUUAGAACCACAAGCAACAUGUAAAGAUGUGAAUCUGCACUUCAAAUAUGAAAUACUUUGAUAUCAAUAGCCUUUCAAGUUUACUUCUUCUGCUUCUUCUUUUUAGUUCUGAUUCUUGUAAAUCUUAGAUUGUGCAUGCUAGUCCCCUUGGCCUUAUUCUGGAGGAGCAUGAGCAUGGAGAUUGGACUCAAAUGAGCUGAAGUCCUUAAACAUAUGCAUGUCAUAAUAGUCUUGUAAUAGAAGCAAAGUUUAAGCCUGUGAUUCAUACUAGUUUAUUCAAGUGUUAAUAAUAAACUACUGUUUAUUGUGAC